UGGAUUAAUGAUGUCCACUGGUGGCAUAUAAGUCAUGCAUGAUGAAUAUAUGUCUGGAACUCUAAGGUCCAA